GCGGGUAUGCCGGAGCGGUCAAACGGGACGGACUCAAGAUCCGUUAGCUUAGUGCUUACAAAGGUUCGAAUCCUUUUACCCGCA
rnacentral:tRNA from 1 species